CCCCUAGAUGUUCUGGGCCGCACGCGCGCUACACUGAACAGUUCAACAAGUCUUAACCUUGGCCGAUAGGUCUGGGUAAUCUUUGAACGCUGUUCGUGAUUGGGAUAGACCUUUGCAAUUAUGGGUCUUCAACGAGGAAUUCCUAGUAAACGCAAGUCAUCAGCUUGCAUUGAUUACGUCCCUGCCCUUUGUACACACCGCCCGUCGCACCUACCGAUUGAAUGAUUUAGUGAGGACUUCGGACUGGGACCGAUGCGGCUUUCGGGCUGCGUCGGUAUUCUGGAAAGAUGUCCAAACUGUAUCAUUUAGAGGAAGUAAAAGUCGUAACA
rnacentral:rRNA from 1 species